AAUAAAUUAUGACAAUAUUAAAAUUAUUUUCUGGCAGCCCAGUUAACUGCGCUGGGGACUGUAAAGCCCCUACUGAUUCCAUUUAUGCCUUGUAAUUGCGGUCCACGGUCUCGCUCUAAACCUUUUGGUGUAUAUUGUGUGUAAACUUUUAGCUAAUAGACUUUUUUUUGAAUGGAAGGACUUUUCUCGGUACUUCCUGCCGUAUACAUUUUGUCUCUGAUCUCUGUAUUUAAUGGCCAAGUCCUGGUUUAUGCUUUAUAAUGUGUUGACAAGUUUUCUAACAGACUUUCUGAAAUAAUGCACAUAUAUUCACGUCGGUUAGAAACUCCACAGUAUUUUUAGAGUCGAGUAGAUCUAUAUCCUAAUGCACUGAGAGGGAGUGUAAAUCAUAGAGGAUUUCAUAGCCCUUUCAGUAGUUUUCUGUAUGAAGUAUGAGCAGCGUGGCCUCCAGACGUAACCUUUUAGAAAAAAAGACAGUGCUUUUAUUUUAUGGUGUAAAGUGCUUUUAGCUUCAGGGCUCUGAACGUGAAUGUGGUCAACAAACAGCUCUUGCGAGGGAGUUUGCUCCAGCCUCAGCCCUGCGCCGGGCGCUGUGGGGAGGGAUGCGGGGCCGCCCCCGGCCGCAGGAGCGGCCUGAGCCCCCCCAGAGACACGGCAGCCCCCGCCAGGGUCCUGGGCUCCGACACCCCGCGGAAAGGGGGGGUGGGAUGGCCCCCGGCGCUGCCGGAGAGGCUGAUGAUGGCUGCGGGGUCAAGCCCCGGCGCGUCCGGGGGCAGGGGGCUGAGCUGGCCCCGGCACCGGCGGCAGAGACAGGGCCAGAGGGCACAGCUGGGGCUGAGAGCGCCCCAGGAGAGCUGUGGAGCAAGGGCGACGCACCCCAUCACUGCCCCGCUGCACCCCACAAGCUACAUCUCCUGUGUCUCUGCUUCCACCCUCGCAGCACCUCCGUGACACACCGAGCAUCUCCAGCCCUCUCUGUAGCUCCUGCACGCUGCUGUCCCCUUGCUGGGCUGUACUAACAAACCCAGUGCGUGUGGCAGGGUAUGAAUUUGGUACUUCUAGCUCUUCUGAAGCUCCACACUCAAUGGAAUAUACCCAAGGUAAAGCUACAGCUACCCUGAGGAUUUCACGGGGCACACCUGCAACCCUGACCCACCUGCGUGCUCCUAUACACUGAGAAGAGGCCAGGAACAAGAAAUGACACUUUAGUUAUCUCCAAAGAGGGUGCUAAAUGUGUACGAUAAAGAGAACAUAAAUAAAUAUUUUUGCUAACAGUUUCACAUAA